GUUUCCUCUCCCUCCCUCACUCUCCCUUUUUCUCUUCCCCUCUCUUUCUCUCCUUGUCUUUUUGUCUCUUUAUGUCUAUUGCAUUAUGCCUGAAUAAUUUUCAGUCUUUUUUUUCCUCCCCUCUUGAAUGCACAUGCUAAAAUAACUAGACAAAGAUGCAAGGUGGUUGCUGCAGUCCCUGUCUCUAGGACAAAACCAAGAAAGCUUGUGAUUGCAAUGCCACCUUUCCUUUCUCUUUUUUUUUUUUUUUCCCUCCUUUUUUUCUUCCCCAGCCAUGCUUGGUGAUUAAACUUCCUCAGGAUGGGGAAGAAAAAGGAGCUGGAAAUGAAACAGGGUUGAAGAAAAAUCCCAUUGCAGCAGCUGCAGCCAGUGGUAUCUCCUGCCAGAUGUGCGAAGGUUCCCGGGGUCCUUGUCACUAAAAGGCAGUAUUCAAAUAUUUGGAGACAAAAGCUGCAUCCUCAGUGUUCAUUUUCUUUAUUUAACAUGGCAGCAGGCAUCGUGUGGGGAAAAAUCAACACGCUGGAUGUUGAAUCGGACUUUUCUCCUUUCUGGGAUGAAAGGAUGUUAUCUAUCCCAUGCCAAGAGGGAACUGAGGCAAAGGGAUAAGGUUUCCUCCCAAGGAGAAAGAAAAAUACAGAUUAUCAGUUUUCUGGUGAUAACAUGCAACUCCUGAAGACCGUCUGGCUCUAAAAAGCAAUACAUUCUGGGAUACAUCUCACCUAACUUUGGAUGUAAAAAACAUAGAUGUCUCAGUUUCAGCUAGUUAUUUUUGCCCCUGUUCUACUGAGGAGAGAAACAGGUAUGACCAGAUGCAUUCCAUGUAAUUUCAGAGUUCUGUUUAGGAUGAGAUGAAUUGUACUCUGAGCUGCUUGGUUCUUUCUGUUAACUCUAAAGAGAAACCCAACUUGGUUGCAGUUUUAGAUUACCAUGUUUGGGCAUCACACUAAUGAUGAUUUUCCCAUUCCUUAAUUUUUCACCUCUGGCUUGCCUGAUUGCUCUUGAAGAAUUUAUUUCCACU
rnacentral:lncRNA from 1 species